CGUUUUUUGAUUAUAAUUUAAGAUUUAUUCUGCUCAAUGAAAAUUUAAAUAGCCGCAGUAUUUUAACUGUGCAAAGGUAGCAUAAUAAUUUGUUUAUUAAUUGUAAACUGGAAUGAAAGAAUAGAUAAAAUAUUUACUUUAUUAAUAUUAUAAAUAUAAAGUUAAUUUUUUAGUAAAAAAGCUAAAAUUUUUUAUUGGGACGAGAAGACCCUAUAGAAUUUUAUAUUAUAAUGAAUAUUUUAAAUUAAUAUAUUUUUAUAUAUUUAUUAUAUUAAUUUAUUGGGAGGAUAAUUAAAUUUUUAAACUUUAAUAUAAUUAACCAAAGAUAAGUGAAGAUUUGAUUUUAUAUAUAAAAUUUUAGAAAAAUUACCUUAGGGAUAACAGUGUAAUAUUUUUAGAAAGUUCUUAUUGAUAAAAAUGUUUAUAACCUCGAUGUUGAAUUUAGAUUAAUUUAAAUAGAAGUUUGUUUAAAUUUUAGUCUGUUCGACUAUUAAAAUCUAACAU
rnacentral:rRNA from 1 species